AGCACAUGGAACUUAAAAAAAGCACAUAACCCUUUAGGCCCAGCAGGCAAUUAAGGCCUUGGUAGAAAUGUCAGCCAUAAGACCAUAUGGGAUCAAGUUCAGAGGGCAGCUGCUUCAUUAAAGAAAGAAAGGGAGCAUGUGAGAGUGAGAGCAAGAGAGAAGAAAGAGACAAAGAAAGGUUGACUUCCUUCUGGGCACGGAUCAGUUUUUCUCAUUCUCUGGUUCCUCUCCAAAAGAAAGAACUAACUCCAGUGUCUCCAAUUUAACCAUCUUGCAUUUUGGGCAGCAAGUGGACACCUUGGAAAGACGAUAAAAGAGAAAUGAGCAAGAACUCAGCAGUGAACGAGCAGUCAGAAGAAGCCUCUGCCCUCAUGAAGACAGGCAGUAAACAUUAAGACUGACUCCCAACAUCCCUUCCACCCUUUCUCUACUAAACAGCAGCAAUACGAUGUGAAGAAUUUUCCUCUGCUCAAGGGGUUGAGCCAACCUAGCUAAGGGGAACCCUAUUAUCUCUCGACAAUAGUUUCUUUAGGAAAGGGGCUUAAGACCUAAUUCUGGGUAAUUCCACAAGUGGAAAUGUUUGCUGGAGGCCAAUAAAGAUACAGGAUACCAAUUUCUCUUUCCUGUUGGACAAGAAGGAGAAAGAAGCAUAUGGCCUCAAUUUCUGACACCAGGGUAGCAUCUUGGGAUGAAACCAACACUGUUGAAGAAAAAGAGAUAUGCAAAUAACCUGCUGAUUCUACCAUCCCAGAAACCUGCACUACCUCUGGUCUUCUUUUUCUUUUUUCUUUCUUUUUUAACUUUCUUACAUUGAGUUCAAUCUUGUGUUUUUCUUACAUA